rnacentral:rRNA from 1 species
UACGGGGGGAGCAAGCGUUGUUCGGAUUUACUGGGCGUAAAGGGCGCGUAGGCGGCCACCGCAAGUCGACUGUGAAAUCUCCGGGCUUAACCCGGAAAGGUCAGCCGAUACUGCGGGGCUAGAGUGCGGAAGGGGCAACUGGAAUUCUCGGUGUAGCGGUGAAAUGCGUAGAUAUCGAGAGGAACACCUGCGGCGAAGGCGGGUUGCUGGGCUGACACUGACGCUGAGGCGCGAAAGCUAGGGGAGCGAACGG